GACGAACGCUGGCGGCGUGCUUAACACAUGCAAGUCGAACGGAAAGGCCCUGCUUUUGUGGGAUGCUCGAGUGGCGAACGGGUGAGUAACACGUGAGUAACCUGCCCUUGACUUUGGGAUAACUUCAGGAAACUGGGGCUAAUACCGGAUAGGAGUUCCUGCUGCAUGGUGGGGGUUGGAAAGUUUCGGCGGUUGGGGAUGGACUCGCGGCUUAUCAGCUUGUUGGUGGGGUAGUGGCUUACCAAGGCUUUGACGGGUAGCCGGCCUGAGAGGGUGACCGGCCACAUUGGGACUGAGAUACGGCCCAGACUCCUACGGGAGGCAGCAGUGGGGAAUAUUGCACAAUGGGCGGAAGCCUGAUGCAGCAACGCCGCGUGCGGGAUGACGGCCUUCGGGUUGUAAACCGCUUUCGCCUGUGACGAAGCGUGAGUGACGGUAAUGGGUAAAGAAGCACCGGCUAACUACGUG
rnacentral:rRNA from 1 species